ACAGGGAUUGCCUCAGUAACGGCGAGUGAAGCGGCAACAGCUCAAAUUUGAAAUCUGGCCCUAGGCCCGAGUUGUAAUUUGCAGAGGAUGCUUCUGGCGACGUGCCUUCCGAGUUCCCUGGAACGGGACGCCAUAGAGGGUGAGAGCCCCGUCCGGUCGCGCACCUAGCCUCUGUGAAGCUCCUUCGACGAGUCGAGUAGUUUGGGAAUGCUGCUCUAAAUGGGAGGUAUACGUCUUCUAAAGCUAAAUACCGGCCAGAGACCGAUAGCGCACAAGUAGAGUGAUCGAAAGAUGAAAAGCACUUUGAAAAGAGGGUUAAAUAGUACGUGAAAUUGCUGAAAGGGAAGCGCUUAUGACCAGACUUGGGCCGGUGAAUCAUCCGUCGUUCUCGGCGGUGCACUUUGCCGGCUCAGGCCAGCAUCAGUUCGCCUCGGGGGAUAAAGGCUUCGGGAAAGUAGCUCCCUCGGGAGUGUUAUAGACCGUUGCGUGAUACCCUGGGGCGGACUGAGGUACGCGUUCUGCAAGGAUGCUGGCGUAAUGGUCAUCAGUGACCCGUCUUGAAACACGGACCAAGGAGUCGUCUUCGUAUGCGAGUGUUCGGGUGUAAAACCCCUACGCGUAAUGAAAGUGAACGUAGGAGAGAGCUUCGGCGCAUCUCCGACCGAUCCUGAUGUUCUCGGAUGGAUUUGAGUAAGAGCAUACGGGGCCGGACCCGAAAGAAGGUGAACUAUGCCUGUAUAGGGUGAAGCCAGGGGAAACUCUGGUGGAGGCUCGCAGCGGUUCUGACGUGCAAAUCGAUCGUCAAAUAUGGGCAUGGGGCGAAAGACUAAUCGAACCUUCUAGUAG
rnacentral:rRNA from 1 species